rnacentral:lncRNA from 1 species
GUUACUGACUGUGGCGAGCCAGCGAGAUGAUGCACACAGGUCUGCGCAGGGCAUAGGUGACCUGCAAACCGGACCUAUUGCUGCAGACAUACCUAUCCAAGUCCCUGCUGCAGUUACAUAUUCUCAACCUUCCUCUAAAACCCCUAUUCUCACUGUUCUGAAUGAUCGUCUUCAUUUUCCAAAAUAGGAAACUCUCACAAUCCUGUUCGUUUCCAGCCCACAACUCACUUCCUCUGUGAAGCCUAAAGACUGUUUUAAGGUUUUUAGCUGUUUCUAUUUGCAAAAGGCCUUUGAAUAACUAAAGGUGUUGUUUUAAAACAAAACAAAACUGGACGUGCUUAAGGGCAGGUACUGUGUUCAUUUUUAUAAUCUAGUUCCAGUACAGUUCACCCCAACCCAAUCCACCCCCGAAUGGAUUUCAGUGACCAACUUACUGGGUUGAAAUUAUGGUGUCUAGCUAGCAAGAAACCCACCGCGCCCUAAGUGCCCUGUUACUUUAAGCCUUGGAAAACUAAGAUUCGUUCUGCGCACUUGUUUUGAACCUCUUCCUUUCCCAGUUGUGGGUUGUUCCCUCCUCUAGCCUGUUUUUUUUCCCCCAAAGGCAUUUCUUCCCCCAGAAAGAUGUGUGAUCGUUCUUUUAACAUAUGUUGCUUUCUCCUUUAUACUUUGCGUCGCUUGUCAUUUUAGAAUCCUAAGGAAUCUAAGCGUUUCUGCAAACUGUACCACUGUGUGUGAGAGAGAGAGAGAGGCCGCUUGCAGAACUGAAAAUUAGAAAUAUGUCUUUAAAAUUAAGAUAAGACUGACGUGUACCGAAGAAAUAUCAAAGAAGGAAUUGCAGAGCUGGGGACAGAUAAGGAAACGUCCUGAGCGAGAGCAACUGCAUCCGCAGUCAGAAAAACACUGCACCAGUUUUGCCCAAAAGUUUUUGUCUGAGUCAGAUGCUCCAUACAAAUUGACAGUGCAAAAGUUUCUGUGCAAGAAAGUUCAGGUACAAAAGUUUUAAAAGCUAAGAUCUAAAAGGCGUAGGUUUAGGGCUGGAGAGGUGGCUCAGCAGAGGCGGUGCAGCCCUCAGGGAAGCAUAGGAGCUUCCCGGUGCUCUUCCUAGGGAUCCGAUGCUCUCCCUUCUGACACCUUCAUAGUCACCAUGUCACUGAGCAGUGUUCUGCAGGGACUGUCAAGAUGGCCGCACCUGUCAAAAUGGUGGCAUCAGUUAAAACAAAGUGGGUGGGGGGAAAAAGCACCAAUCACUGAGCAGGAAAACCAGCCAAUCCCUGAACUCCCUAAGAUCAAGACUUGAAAUCCUACCAAUCCUGACUCUGGAAGUCUCCACCCUCCUAAGAAAUCCUCUAUGUGCCUGCCUUUUGUCCAAUCCCCGGCUGUCCUCUCCCCAGGAGCAAAGAGGGCAGCCACCUCUGGACUCCUCUCUCCUCCCCCUGGAUUCGACCUUCCAAUAAAUGUCUUUUAUG